rnacentral:rRNA from 1 species
GUGGGGAAUAUUGGACAAUGGGCGAAAGCAUGAUCCAGCCAUGCCGCGUGUGUGAAGAAGGUCUUCGGAUUGUAAAGCACUUUAAGUUGGGAGGAAGGGCAGUAAGUUAAUACCUUGCUGUUUUGACGUUACCGACAGAAUAAGCACCGGCUAACUUCGUGCCAGCAGCCGCGGUAAUACGAAGGGUGCAAGCGUUAAUCGGAAUUACUGGGCGUAAAGCGCGCGUAGGUGGUUUUGUAAGUUGGAGGUGAAAUCCCCGGGCUCAACCUGGGAACUGCCUCCAAAACUGCAUGACUAGAGUACGGUAGAGGGUAGUGGAAUUUCCUGUGUAGCGGUGAAAUGCGUAGAUAUAGGAAGGAACACCAGUGGCGAAGGCGACUACCUGGACUGAUACUGACACUGAGGUGCGAAAGCGUGGGGAGCAAACAGGAUUAGAAACCCCUGUAGUCC